AUGAUGCACAUAAGUGAGAAAUCUGAAGCCUACCUAUUAGAGUUCGUCCGAUACGACUUUGAUGAUUGUGCCGAUGAGAGAAAACCGAAGAGCACUCCUAGACUCAGGUUUUGCGUAGUUUUUUGGACUGGUUAUGGGCAGGGGCAGCAACAGGUCUUGGACUGUUUGUGUAGCAGGACAGAAGCCGGUUCAAUUUUGGCCAUGUGCAGGUCAAGGUUUGAAAUGGACAUGGCAUGUGAUUCAAGGCUUAGUCAUGAGAUGAAGAAAGAUGAAAAUUAG